rnacentral:rRNA from 1 species
CUAGCGGCGGACGGGUUAGUAACGCGUGGGAACGUACCCUUUUCUACGGAAUAGCCUCGGGAAACUGAGAGUAAUACCGUAUACGCCCUUUGGGGGAAAGAUUUAUCGGAGAAGGAUCGGCCCGCGUUAGAUUAGAUAGUUGGUGGGGUAAUGGCCUACCAAGUCUACGAUCUAUAGCUGGUUUGAGAGGAUGAUCAGCAACACUGGGACUGAGACACGGCCCAGACUCCUACGGGAGGCAGCAGUGGGGAAUCUUAGACAAUGGGCGCAAGCCUGAUCUAGCCAUGCCGCGUGAGUGAUGAAGGCCUUAGGGUCGUAAAGCUCUUUCGCCUGUGAAGAUAAUGACUGUAGCAGGUAAAGAAACCCCGGCUAACUCCGUGCCAGCAGCCGCGGUAAUACGGAGGGGGUUAGCGUUGUUCGGAAUUACUGGGCGUAAAGCGCGCGUAGGCGGACAUUUAAGUCAGAGGUGAAAUCCCAGGGCUCAACCCUGGAACUGCCUUUGAUACUGGGUGUCUCGAGUUCGAGAGAGGUGAGUGGAAUUCCGAGUGUAGAGGUGAAAUUCGUAGAUAUUCGGAGGAACACCAGUGGCGAAGGCGGCUCACUGGCUCGAUACUGACGCUGAGGUGCGGAAGUGUGGGGAGCAAACAGGAUUAGAUACCCUGGUAGUCCACACCGUAAACGAUGAAUGCCAGUCGUCGGG